GGGCCGCUAGCUCAAUUGGCAGAGCUACGGACUUUUAAUCCGCAGGUUCUGGGUUCGAGUCCCAGGCGGCCCACCA
rnacentral:tRNA from 2 species